rnacentral:rRNA from 1 species
AUUGAACGCUGGCGGCAGGCCUAACACAUGCAAGUCGAGCGGUAGAGAGAAGCUUGCUUCUCUUGAGAGCGGCGGCCGGGUGAGUAAAGCCUAGGAAUCAGCCUGGUAGUGGGGGAGAACGUUCGGAAACGGACGCUAAUACCGCGUACGUCCCACGGGAGAAAGCAGGGGAUCUUCGGGCCCUGCGCUAGCAGAUGAGCCUAGGUCGGAUUAGCUAGUUGGUGAGGUAAUGGCUAACCAAGGCGACGAUCCGUAACUGGUCUGAGAGGAUGAUCAGUCACACUGGAACUGAGACACGGUCUAGAGUCCUACGGGAGGCAGCAGUGGGGAAUAUUGGACAAUGGGCGAAAGCCUGAUCCAGCCAUGCCGCGUGUGUGAAGAAGGUCUUCGGAUUGUAAAGCACUUUAAGUUGGGAGGAAGGGCAUUAACCUAAUACGUUAGUGUUUUGACGUUACCGACAGAAUAAGCACCGGCUAACUCUGUGCCAUCCGCCGCAGUAA